rnacentral:rRNA from 1 species
GAUGAACGCUGGCGGCGUGCCUAAUACAUGCAAGUCGAGCGAACAGACGAGGAGCUUGCUCCUCUGACGUUAGCGGCGGACGGGUGAGUAACACGUGGAUAACCUACCUAUAAGACUGGGGUAACUUCGGGAAACCGGAGCUAAUACCGGAUAAUAUAUUGAACCGCAUGGUUCAAUAGUGAAAGACGGUUUUGCUGUCACUUAUAGAUGGAUCCGCGCCGCAUUAGCUAGUUGGUAAGGUAACGGCUUACCAAGGCAACGAUGCGUAGCCGACCUGAGAGGGUGAUCGGCCACACUGGAACUGAGACACGGUCCAGACUCCUACGGGAGGCAGCAGUAGGGAAUCUUCCGCAAUGGGCGAAAGCUUGACGGAGCAACGCCGCGUGAGUGAUGAAGGUCUUCGGAUCGUAAAACUCUGUUAUUAGGGAAGAACAAAUGUGUAAGUAACUAUGCACGUCUUGACGGUACCUAAUCAGAAAGCCACGGCUAGCUACGUG